rnacentral:snoRNA from 1 species
UGCCGUGAUGUCGCUGUUUGAGGCAGAUGUGCUGACUUUGCACUGAUUAGGGCAUUUUCAAACCGUCUGAGC